rnacentral:misc_RNA from 1 species
GAGACCCAUGGUGACACGCGCUCCCGCAGGCGCGGCGAGAAGAAGAUCGCGCAGGUUCGCGGCGAAGACGCGAACGGCCUCUUCCUCGGCCGCAGUCCACAGCCGCAUGCGCAGAUCGAUGUUGAUGUGAANNNNNACGCCCAGCGGACUGUUUCGGCCAGCCAUUUGUCGCCGGGCCGCCCCUGAUCGGAGAUCGAAAAACGCUGCCGGAUGCGCAGUUCGUAUGAACUCACGGCGGCAG